GAAGAUAUAGCUCAGUUGGAGAGGGCAUGCUUAGCAUGCAUGAGGUCCUGGGUUCAAUCCUCAGUACCUCCA
rnacentral:tRNA from 1 species